CUUAUACUCCCUCCGUUCCAAAUUAAUUGACCUCCAUUUGUCUAGACACGGAUGUAUCUAGACACUAAACAAGUAUAGAUACAUUCAUAUCUAAACAAAUUAAAGUCAAGUAAUUUGAAACGGAGGGAGUAUUUU
rfam:Triticum aestivum genome assembly, contig: Triticum_aestivum_CS42_TGACv1_scaffold_423942_5BS